AGGGAACAUUUAAAAGCGGUAGCCCCCACAAGAACCACAGCUUUCUUACAGGCAAGCAUCACACGCAUUAAGGAAGGAGGCCAACCCCACGCGUCUCCUUACAUUGGCCAUGUUUUAUGACAUACCUGCCUAACCCAGACAUUAAUCUACUGAAGAUGGAUUGGCCUGGUCAUGGUCCUCUGCUAACCUUCAACGGCAUGCACAUUACCUAAAUUGAAAUCUGCACUUUUUCAUGCCAUGUUUGAUGUGACGGUCCAAGGAAUGUCGGCUGCAUUAGAAUGGGUUUUUAUGGGGACUGAAGCUCCUUCCUAUUUACCUUUCAGCAGAGCAGCUGCAGGCUCUCCUUUUCACUUGACAAUGAAGGCAUUCAUCCCCAGUGAUCACCCCAAGAGAUGCUGCCCAUACUGGCUCAGAAUUGUGUGGCCUUUCUCAGGAGGAGAGUCUAGCCAUGAAGAGUAAGCUUAUUCAACUGUGCACAACUUCCUAAGAAAUGAAGUGAUGGAAUAAGGUGCAGGCUUUCUGGAAGCAAGGAUCUUUUGUGCUAUCUCCCAGUCAGGAUGCUCCUCACUGCAUGUUUCAUCUCUGGUGCCUUUCCCUCUGGGAGUGGGCCCUGGGGGCAUUCUCUGCAGAAGGCUCUUGACACUGGGAAUUCCUCCUUUUGGUUGAUCAAAGCUGGGCC
rnacentral:lncRNA from 1 species